rnacentral:rRNA from 1 species
UACGAAGGGGGCUAGCGUUGCUCGGAAUGACUGGGCGUAAAGGGCGCGUAGGCGGAUUGUACAGUCAGGCGUGAAAUUCCCGGGCUCAACCUGGGGGCUGCGCUUGAGACGUGCGAUCUUGAGUGGGGAAGAGGGUCGUGGAAUUCCCAGUGUAGAGGUGAAAAUUCGUAGAUAUUGGGAAGAACACCGGUGGCGAAGGCGGCGACCUGGUCCUUGACUGACGCUGAGGCGCGAAAGCGUGGGGAGCAAACAGG